UGGGGGAUAUUGCACAAUGGGCGAAAGCCUGAUGCAGCGACGCCGCGUGGGGGAUGAAGGCUUUCGGGUUGUAAACCUCUUUCGCUAUCGAACAAGGCCCGCUUAGGGUGGGUUGAGGGUAGGUGGAGAAGAAGCGCCGGCUAACUACGUGCCAGCAGCCGCGGUAAUACGUAGGGCGCGAGCGUUGUCCGGAAUUAUUGGGCGUAAAGGGCUUGUAGGCGGCUUGUUGCGCCUGCUGUGAAAACGCGGGGCUUAACUUCGCGCGUGCAGUGGGUACGGGCAGGCUUGAGUGUGGUAGGGGUGACUGGAAUUCCAGGUGUAGCGGUGGAAUGCGCAGAUAUCUGGAGGAACACCGAUGGCGAAGGCAGGUCACGGGGCCAUUACUGACGCUGAGGAGCGAAAGCAUGGGUAGCGAACAGG
rnacentral:rRNA from 1 species